UUGAAAACAAUCGUUGAAAUUCUUUUAAUAAUUUCAAAUAUUCUUUAUGUCUGUUGAGUAAAAUUUCAAUCUUGUGUUCUAUUUUCAAUGGUGCUUUUUACAUUUGUUAUUUAAUUGUUUAUAACAGAAUUUAUAUGGAGCUAGAUGUUUUUGAAGCAAUGGGGAAUACUAAAAAAAAUCAUGAUUAAUUCUUUUGGGAUGAAAGUACUGACUGUUUUGUUUUGGAAAUUACAUGCCGUUAUAUAGUUUGUUAAUCCCUUCAUUAUGUCGUAUGGCUAGUGGAACGACAGAAGAAAAAAGAAGAGGAUAUUCAAGGUCAUCAUGUAGUGUGAAGUAUUCUUUUUUUUUGUCACUGAAUGAUUGUGUUUGAUGAUUUGUGCCUAAUUCAUAGUGUUAUUUGUUGAGUUAAUGAUGCUAUCCACUUGGAUUAUUUUAGGUUUGUGUCUUUGUGAAUAUCCAUAUUUUGUGUAAAACUGGGAAAAUUAUAGAAGAAUUCGCAAUGAAACGUUGAACGCUGUAAGUCGAGAGAAAAGAACUUAUCUACAAACUUCAACUGAAAAUGCAAAAGAUCUCAAGUAUCUGUGGAGAAUGGCUGAACUCAAUAUAUAUAAUAGGUCAUUAAAUAAAAAUUUGCCCUCAGGCAUAUGAACAAGUAUUUCUUAAAUUUUGCUCAGGAUCAGGGUGUAGAUGAUGUGUCGGUUAUUAAUUAUUACAACACAAAUCAAUAUUUUGAAUUGCUGCAUUCUGGACUUGGAGUUCCCUGUGGAGUGGAAGAUUUCGAGAGUGUUGCCACCUCCUAAGGUGGCUAUCCCUACUACUUUCAACGAUAUUUGUGUGCAAAGAUUUUUGAGAAAGUAUUGGUAUAUAGAAUAAAGACUCAUCUGGAGAAAUAUAAUAUCUUACCAUCUCGACAAUCUGGUUUCAGAUGAGGGUUUGGUUUUUGCACGGCUCUUCUUGAUGUUGUUGACUCUAUCAUUUCAAAAGUCGAUUCAGGAUUCUCUACGUCUGCCAUUAGGUUAAUGAUAGAUUACCUCCAGGAUCAAUGUCAGUA